UUUUGGGCCCUGUGCAACAGUGUGCUGUGAACCCCGCCAGGUUCGGAAGGAAGCAACGGUAAGCAGUUACCUGGGUGCCACAGGACUCCCUGAAAGC
rnacentral:SRP_RNA from 1 species